rnacentral:rRNA from 1 species
UACGUAGGGUGCAAGCGUUGUCCGGAAUUAUUGGGCGUAAAGAGCUCGUAGGCGGCUUGUCGCGUCGGCUGUGAAAACUCGGGGCUCAACCCCGAGCCUGCAGUCGAUACGGGCAGGCUAGAGUCCGGCAGGGGAGACUGGAAUUCCUGGUGUAGCGGUGAAAUGCGCAGAUAUCGGGAAGAACACCCGUGGCGAAGGCGGCUCUCUGGGACGGUACUGACGCUGAGACGCGAAGGCGUGGGGAGCGAACAGG